rnacentral:rRNA from 1 species
UCGCCUGUUUUUCAAAAACAUAGUUUUAUGAUUAUAUAUAUAUAAAAUAUUUUCUGCCCAGUGUCAAUUGAUAAAUGGCCGCAGUACCUUGACUGUGCUAAGGUAGCAUAAUCAAUUGGCUUUUAAUUGAAGUCUAGAAUGAAUGGGAUAAUGGAAUUUAGCUGUCUUGAUUUUUUUAAUAAAAAUUUAUUUAUAAGGUGAAAAUACCUUAAACUAUAAUAAAGACGAGAAGACCCUAUGAAUUUUUAAAUUUUUUUUUGUUGGGGCGACAGUUUAAAAUAUAAAUCUUAAAUUUUAAUAUAUAACGAUUUUUUUAAUAAAAAUUAAAUUACCUUAGGGAUAACAGCAUUAUUAUUUAAAUAGUUUGUGACCUCGAUGUUGGACUAGGAACUAAAAGGCUAACCGUCUUUAUAGAUUUGUUCUGUUCGAACAAUUUUAUCCUACGUGAUCUGAGUUCAGACCGGA